GGCCUGGUGGUGUAGGGGGAACAUGCCCUUGUUCCCAGUAAACGAAUCGGGAAACAAAAAUUUCAUCGGGAGUGCCUUGUUCAACUCAAGGCCGGGCUA